rnacentral:rRNA from 1 species
CCUACGGGGGGCAGCAGUGGGGAAUAUUGCACAAUGGGGGAAACCCUGAUGCAGCGACGCCGCGUGAGUGAAGAAGUAUCUCGGUACGUAAAGCUCUAUCAGCAGGGAAGAAAAUGACGGUACCUGACUAAGAAGCCCCGGCUAACUACGUGCCAGCAGCCGCGGUAAUACGUAGGGGGCAAGCGUUAUCCGGAUUUACUGGGGGUAAAGGGAGCGUAGGCGGCAGCACAAGUCUGGAGUGAAAUCCCGGGGCUUAACCCCGGAACUGCUUUGGAAACUGUGCGGCUGGAGUGCAGGAGGGGUAGGCGGAAUUCCUGGUGUAGCGGUGAAAUGCGUAGAUAUUAGGAGGAACACCGGUGGCGAAGGCAGCUUACUGGACUAUAACUGACGUUGAGGCUCGAAAGCGUGGGGAGCAAACAGGAUUAGAUACCCCAGUAGUC